rnacentral:lncRNA from 1 species
UUCCCGUUCUUUAUAUUUCUCCAUCUUUAGCUAUCUGAACCGUUCUCGAUGCAGGAUAAUCAAGAGAAGCCACAAACUGCGAGAGAGGGAUAGCAAAGCUUAGCUAAGCCGCCGCACCAAAGAGCAAAAAUCGCCAGUAAGGCUAAAUGUUUCCCCUCCCUUCUCCGCAAAACACCUCCUUUUCACGAUUUAAACUAAUUUCCACCAGGAAUUGGCCAAAAAUGGUUUGGUCGAGAGGGAGAAAUGCUGAAGAAGGAGAACCAGGCGGUGGAACUCGAUGAUGACGCCGCACCAGAACCCAACCUGACCCCUGGUGAGUUUUUUUGUCUUUUCACUAUGCUCUACGUAUUUUCACGCUGUUUUGAUGGGCAUUUUUAAAUUUUACCAAGAAACCCAAGAAAUUCAAGAACUGAGGACUGUCACAAACCGUAGUGAAAAAUGUGGUGUUAUGGACUCCGACCAAAGUAAGAAUCUUUCAACAUUUUCCCUGUUAUAGUAAAUUAAAGUUAAAUCGAUAACAAACGGU